AUGGUCAUGAAGGUUUGUGCUCAGCUCCUGGGAAUCCUGUUGUUCUGGCUCCCAGGUGCCAGAUGUGACAUCCAGAUGACCCACUCUUCAUCUUUCCUAUCUUCAUCUCCAGGAGACAGUCACAUCACUUGCAAAACCAGUCAGGGCAUUAGCAAUGAAUUGAACUGGUAUCAGUAGAAACCAGGCAAAGCUCCUAAGCUCCCGAUCCAUACUGUAUCCACAUUGCAAUCUGGAGUCCCAUCCAGGUUCAGUGGCAGUGGAUCUGGGACAGAUUUCACUCUCACCAUCAGCAGCCUAGAGCCUGAAGAUAUUGCAACUUAUUACUGUCAACAGGUUUAUAAUAAGCCAACCACAGUGAUAACAAGUCAUAACAUAAACCACCCAGGGAAGUGGAAAUGUGAGGCUGGACUGUCAUAG